GAUGAAGAACGCAGCGAAAUGCGAUAAGUAAUGUGAAUUGCAGAAUUCAGUGAAUCAUCGAAUCUUUGAACGCACAUUGCGCCCGCCAGCAUUCUGGCGGGCAUGCCUGUUCGAGCGUCAUUUCAACCCUCGAGCUCCCCUUGGGGAGCCCGGCGUUGGGGACCGGCAGCAUACCGCCGGCCCUGAAAUGGAGUGGCGGCCCGUCCGCGGCGACCUCUGCGUAGUAAACAUCACCUCGAACCGGAAACCCGACGUGGCCACGCCGUAAAACACCCAACUUUCUGAACGUUGACCUCGGAUCAGGUAGGAAUACCCGCUGAACUUAAGCAUAUCAAUAAGCGGAGGA
rnacentral:misc_RNA from 1 species